CCACGGAUUCCGUGACGCAGCUAACGCAUUAAGUUCCCCGCCUGGGGAGUACGGCCGCAAGGCUAAAACUCAAAGGAAUUGACGGGGACCCGCACAAGCGGCGGAGCAUGCGGAUUAAUUCGAUGCAACGCGAAGAACCUUACCAAGGCUUGACAUACACCAGAACACCGUAGAAAUACGGGACUCUUUGGACACUGGUGAACAGGUGGUGCAUGGUUGUCGUCAGCUCGUGUCGUGAGAUGUUGGGUUAAGUCCCGCAACGAGCGCAACCCUCGUUCUAUGUUGCCAGCACGUUAUGGUGGGAACUCAUGGGAUACUGCCGGGGUCAACUCGGAGGAAGGUGGGGAUGACGUCAAAUCAUCAUGCCCCUUAUGUCUUGGGCUUCACGCAUGCUACAAUGGCCGGUACAAAGGGUGCAAUACCUGAGGUGGAGCGAAUCCCAAAAACCGGUCCCAUUCGGAUGAGGUUUACUCGACCUCAGAGAUUAUUCCUCCCAUGAC
rnacentral:rRNA from 1 species